rnacentral:rRNA from 1 species
GACGAACGCUGGCGGCACGCCUAAUACAUGCAAGUCGAGCGAACAGAUGAAGUGCUUGCACUUCUGACGUUAGCGGCGAACGGGUGAGUAACACGUAAGGAAUCUACCUAUAAGCGGGGGAUAACAUUCGGAAACGGGUGCUAAUACCGCAUAAUAUCUUCUUCCGCAUGGAAGAAGAUUGAAAGACGGCUCUGCUGUCACUUAUAGAUGACCUUGCGGUGCAUUAGUUAGUUGGUGGGGUAACGGCCUACCAAGACGAUGAUGCAUAGCCGACCUGAGAGGGGGAUCGGCCACAAUGGGACUGAGACACGGCCCAAACUCCUACGGGAGGCAGCAGUAGGGAAUCUUCCGCAAUGGGCGAAAGCCUGACGGAGCAAUGCCGCGUGAGUGAAGAAGGCCUUCGGGUCGUAAAACUCUGUUAUAAGAGAAGAACAAAUUGUAGAGUAACUGCUACAGUCUUGACGGUAUCUUAUCAGAAAGCCACGGCUAACUACGUGCCAGCCGCCGCGGUAA